rnacentral:rRNA from 1 species
AGAGUUUGAUCCUGGCUCAGGAUGAACGCUAGCGGCAGGCCUAACACAUGCAAGUCGAGGGGCAUCACAGGUAGCAAUACCGGGUGGCGACCGGCGCACGGGUGCGUAACGCGUAUGCAACCUACCCAUAACAGGGGGAUAACACUGAGAAAUUGGUACUAAUACCCCAUAACAUCAGAACCGGCAUCGGUUUUGGUUGAAAACUCCGGUGGUUAUGGAUGGGCAUGCGUUGUAUUAGCUAGUUGGUGAGGUAACGGCUCACCAAGGCAACGAUACAUAGGGGGACUGAGAGGUUAACCCCCCACAUUGGUACUGAGACACGGACCAAACUCCUACGGGAGGCAGCAGUGAGGAAUAUUGGUCAAUGGACGCAAGUCUGAACCAGCCAUGCCGCGUGCAGGAAGACGGCUCUAUGAGUUGUAAACUGCUUUUGUACGAGGGUAAACGCUUCUACGUGUAGGAGCCUGAAAGUAUCGUACGAAUAAGGAUCGGCUAACUCCGUGCCAGCAGCCGCGGUAAUACGGAGGAUCCAAGCGUUAUCCGGAUUUAUUGGGUUUAAAGGGUGCGUAGGCGGUUUGAUAAGUUAGAGGUGAAAUACCGGUGCUUAACACCGGAACUGCCUCUAAUACUGUUGAACUAGAGAGUAGUUGCGGUAGGCGGAAUGUAUGGUGUAGCGGUGAAAUGCUUAGAGAUCAUACAGAACACCGAUUGCGAAGGCAGCUUACCAAACUAUAUCUGACGUUGAGGCACGAAAGCGUGGGGAGCAAACAGGAUUAGAUACCCUGGUAGUCCACGCAGUAAACGAUGAUAACUCGCUGUCGGCGAUACACAGUCGGCGGCUAAGCGAAAGCGAUAAGUUAUCCACCUGGGGAGUACGUUCGCAAGAAUGAAACUCAAAGGAAUUGACGGGGGCCCGCAC